rnacentral:misc_RNA from 1 species
GCUCAACCCUCUCCUAGCAUCUCCAGGUGUAGCAUGGUCCAGGUUCUUCUGUGCUUUUAUCAUAUCCGAAUUAAGCCUAUCAAUUUCAGAUGAGAGGUCCCCUUCUUUCUUCCAUAAAGCCUUCCGUUUAUCUUGUAGUUCAUCCCUCUGUCUCCUUAAACUACUAAUGUCUUCUUGGCUCUUUGGGAUGAGUAACUCUUGCUUCUUCAAUUCAGCUCUCCGUUCUUCCAUGUGCAUUUCCAACUUAUUCCCUUCAUCUUUAAGCUGCUCGAUUUCGUCUUGUAGCUUCUUCUCCUGUGCUACAUUUGUGGAAAGAACGCGUUGCAGAUCAUCAGUUUCUUU